rnacentral:rRNA from 1 species
GUGCCAGCCGCCGCGGUAAUACGUAGGGGGCAAGCGUUGUCCGGAUUUAUUGGGCGUAAAAGGCUUGUAGGUGGCCACGCCAAGUCGGAUGUGAAAUCUCCCGGCUCAACUGGGAGGGGUCAUUCGAUACUGGCGGGCUCGAGGCCGGUAGGGGGAAGUGGAAUUCCCGGUGUAGUGGUGGAAUGCGUAGAUAUCGGGAGGAACACCAGUGGCGAAGGCGGCUUCCUGGACCGGUUCUGACACUGAGGAGCGAAAGCGUGGGGAGCGAUCCGGAUUAGAUACCCCUGUAGUCC